rnacentral:rRNA from 1 species
CCUCGUGUCUUGUCGGAGAGGCCACACCCGUUCUCAUUCCGAACACGGCAGUUAAGCUCUCUUGAACCGAUGGUAGUCGAAAGGCAAGAGUAGGUAGAUGCGAGGA